rnacentral:tRNA from 1 species
GGAGGGAUGGCAGAGUGGCCGAAUGCACCGGUCUUGAAAACCGGCAACGGUUUAUCCCGUUCUAGGGUUCAAAUCCCUAUCCCUCCGCCA